ACGCGAGGAACCUUACCAGGUCUUGACAUCCUCUGACACUCCUAGAGAUAGGACGUUCCCCUUCGGGGGACAGAGUGACAGGUGGUGCAUGGUUGUCGUCAGCUCGUGUCGUGAGAUGUUGGGUUAAGUCCCGCAACGAGCGCAACCCUUGAUCUUAGUUGCCAUCAUUAAGUUGGGCACUCUAAGGUGACUGCCGGUGACAAACCGGAGGAAGGUGGGGAUGACGUCAAAUCAUCAUGCCCCUUAUGACCUGGGCUACACACGUGCUACAAUGGAUGGUACAAAGGGCAGCAAAACCGCGAGGUCGAGCAAAUCCCAUAAAACCAUUCUCAGUUCGGAUUGUAGGCUGCAACUCGCCUACAUGAAGCUGGAAUCGCUAGUAAUCGCGGAUCAGCAUGCCGCGGUGAAUACGUUCCCGGGCCUUGCACACACCGCCCGU
rnacentral:rRNA from 1 species